rnacentral:rRNA from 1 species
CGGUUAAAAAGCUCGUAGUUGAAAUUGUGUCCUGCGGUGUCGGUCUACCGAAUGCGGUACGACAGGCACGUCUGCGGGGCUUCUCGCCGGUGCGUCCACCGCCGGCGUGUGUCGGUCGGCCUCACGGUCGGCCGCGCACCGAGGCGGGCCGUCGCGGCUGUUUACUUUGAACAAAUUANAGUGCUCAAAGCGGGCUAACACUUGCCUGAAUAUUGUACGCAUGGAAUAAUAGAAUAGGACCUUCUGUUUUGUUGGCUUUCUGAUACCAGAGGUAAUGAUUAAUAGGGACGACUGGGGGCAUUCGUAUUGAGACGUUAGAGGUGAAAUUCUUGGAUCGUCGCAAGACGGACUAAAGCGAAAGCAUUUGCCAAAGGUGUUUUCAUUAAUCAAGAACGAAAGUUAGAGGUUCGAAGGCGAUUAGAUACCGCUGUAGUUCUAACCAUAAAUGAUGCCAGCCAGCGAUCCGCCGAAGUUUCAUAAUUUUAACCCGGUGGGCAGCUCCCGGGAAACCAAAGCUUUCGGGCUCCGGGGGAGUAUGGUUGCAAAGCUGAAACUUAAAGGAAU